rnacentral:rRNA from 1 species
CGAGGGGCAUCAGGAAGAAGCUUGCUUUCUUUGCUGGCGACCGGCGCACGGGUGAGUAACACGUAUCCAACCUGCCCUUUACUCGGGGAUAGCCUUUCGAAAGAAAGAUUAAUACCCGAUAGUAUAAUGAUUCCGCAUGGUUUCAUUAUUAAAGGAUUCCGGUAAAGGAUGGGGAUGCGUUCCAUUAGGUUGUUGGUGAGGUAACGGCUCACCAAGCCUUCGAUGGAUAGGGGUUCUGAGAGGAAGGUCCCCCACAUUGGAACUGAGACACGGUCCAAACUCCUACGGGAGGCAGCAGUGAGGAAUAUUGGUCAAUGGGCGUUAGCCUGAACCAGCCAAGUAGCGUGAAGGAUGAAGGCUCUAUGGGUCGUAAACUUCUUUUAUAUAAGAAUAAAGUGCAGUAUGUAUACUGUUUUGUAUGUAUUAUAUGAAUAAGGAUCGGCUAACUCCGUGCCAGCAGCCGCGGUAAUACGGAGGAUCCGAGCGUUAUCCGGAUUUAUUGGGUUUAAAGGGAGCGUAGGUGGACUGGUAAGUCAGUUGUGAAAGUUUGCGGCUCAACCGUAAAAUUGCAGUUGAUACUGUCAGU